GAUGAAGAACGCAGCGAAAUGCGAUAAGUAAUGUGAAUUGCAGAAUUCAGUGAAUCAUCGAAUCUUUGAACGCACAUUGCGCCCUCUGGUAUUCCGGGGGGCAUGCCUGUUCGAGCGUCAUUAUAACCACUCAAGCUCUCGCUUGGUAUUGGAGUUCGCGAUCUCGCGGCUCCUAAAAUCAGUGGCGGUGCCUGUCGGCUCUACGCGUAGUAAUACUCCUCGCGAUUGAGUCCGGUAGGUUUACUUGCCAGCAACCCCCAAUUUUUACAGGUUGACCUCGGAUCAGGUAGGGAUACCCGCUGAACUUAAGAAUAUCAAUAAGCGGAGGA
rnacentral:misc_RNA from 1 species